rnacentral:rRNA from 1 species
GAAAAGAAACCAACAGGGAUUGCCCUAGUAACGGCGAGUGAAGCGGCAACAGCUCAAAUUUGAAAUCUGGCCUCGGCCCGAGUUGUAAUUUGCAGAGGAUGCUUCUGGCGCGGUGCCUUCCGAGUUCCCUGGAACGGGACGCCACAGAGGGUGAGAGCCCCGUAUGGUCGGACACCAAGCCUGUGUGAAGCUCCUUCGACGAGUCGAGUAGUUUGGGAAUGCUGCUCUAAAUGGGAGGUAAAUCUCUUCUAAAGCUAAAUACCGGCCAGAGACCGAUAGCGCACAAGUAGAGUGAUCGAAAGAUGAAAAGCACCUUGAAAAGGGGGUUAAAUAGUACGUGAAAUUGUUGAAAGGGAAGCACUUAUGACCAGACUUGGGCCGGGCGGCUCAUCAGGGGUUCUCCCCUGUGCACUCCGCCCGGCACAGGCCAGCAUCGGUUUUCGCGGGGGGAUAAGACCGACGGGAACGUAGCACCCUCCGGGGUGUGUUAUAGCCCGGCGGACGAUACCCUCGCGGGGACCGAGGACCGCGCUUCGGCAAGGAUGCUGGCGUAAUGGUCAUCAGUGACCCGUCUUGAAACACGGACCAAGGAGUCGUCCAUUAGAGCGAGCGUUUGGGUGUAAAACCCGCACGCGUAAUGAAAGUGAACGCAGGUGAGAGCUUCGGCGCAUCAUCGACCGAUCCUGAUGUUCUCGGAAGGAUUUGAGUAAGAGUUUUAACGGACGGACCCGAAAGACAGUGAACUAUGCUUGUAUAGGGUGAAGCCAGAGGAAACUCUGGUGGAGGCUCGCAGCGGUUCUGACGUGCAAAUCGAUCGUCAAAUAUGAGCAUGGGGGCGAAAGACUAAUCGAACUGUCUAGUAGCUGGUUACCGCCGAAGUUUCCCUCAGGAUAGCAGUGUUGAUCUUCAGUUUUAUGAGGUAAAGCGAAUGAUUAGGGACUCGGGGGCUAUAUAUUGCCUUCAUCCAUUCUCAAACUUUAAAUAUGUAAGAAGCCCUUGUUACUUAGUUGAACGUGGGCAUUCGAAUGUACCAACACUAGUGGGCCAUUUUUGGUAAGCAGAACUGGCGAUGCGGGAUGAACCGAACGCGGGGUUAAGGCGCCAGAGUGUACGCUCAUCAGACACCACAAAAGGCGUUAGUACAUCUUGACAGCAGGACGGUGGCCAUGGAAGUCGGAAUCCGCUAAGGACUGUGUAACAACUCACCUGCCGAAUGUACUAGCCCUGAAAAUGGAUGGCGCUCAAGCGUACCGCC